rnacentral:rRNA from 1 species
UCUCUUGUAUAUAAACAUAAAGAGUGGCCUGCUCGGUGAAUAAUUUUUUAACAGCUGCGGUAUUUUAACUGUACUAAGGUAGCAUAAUAAUUUGCCUUAUAAUUUGAGGCUAGAAUGAAUGGUUUGACGAAGGUUAAUCUGUCUCUAUCUUAUUUUUUAGAAUUUAAUUUUAUAGUGAAAAAGCUUUAAUUUUUUAAAGGGACGAGAAGACCCUAUUGAGCUUUUAAUUUUAUUGUGUUUUAAAUAUUUAUUUUUAUAGCGUUAUUAUAAAUUUUAAUUGGGGUGAUUAAGGAAUAAAUUAUUAACUUCCUUAGUUUGAAUAUUGUUUGAUAAAGUAACCAAUAUGUUAUUGCUUUUAUUAUAGUUACCAUAGGGAUAACAGCGUAAUUUAUUUAGAGAGUUCUUAUUAAAAAAUGAGAUUGCGACCUCGAUGUUGGAUUAAAGUAACCUCAAGGUGAAGAAGCUUGAUAGGUAAACUGUCGAUUUUA